GUGAUCGAGCGACGCCGCGUGCGGGAUGAAGGCCUUCGGGUUGUAAACCGCUUUUGUUUGGGAAGAAGGUAUGCUUCGUGUAAGUGUGCUUGACGGUACCAGACGAAUAAGCCCCGGCUAACUCCGUGCCAGCAGCCGCGGUAAGACGGAGGGGGCAAGCGUUGUUCGGAAUUAUUGGGCGUAAAGGGCGCGUAGGCGGCCAUUCAAGUGACGGGUGAAAGCCCUCGGCUUAACCGAGGAACUGCCUGUCAGACUGGAUGGCUUGAGACCGGGAGAGGUGAGUGGAAUUCCCAGUGUAGCGGUGAAAUGCGUAGAUAUUGGGAGGAACACCAGUGGCGAAGGCGGCUCACUGGACCGGAACUGACGCUGAGGCGCGAAAGCGUGGGGAGCAAACGGGAUUAGAUACCCCGGUAGUCCUAGCCGUAAACGAU
rnacentral:rRNA from 1 species